rnacentral:rRNA from 1 species
UACGUAGGCAGCGAGCGUUGUUCGGAGUUACUGGGCGUAAAGAGUGCGUAGGCGGCUUUCUAAGUUUGGUGUGAAAUCUCCCGGCUCAACUGGGAGGGUGCGCCGGAGACUGGAAGGCUUGAGUAUGGGAGAGGUAAGCGGAAUUCCUGGUGUAGCGGUGAAAUGCGUAGAUAUCAGGAGGAACACCUGCGGUGUAGACGGCUUACUGGACCAUAACUGACGCUGAGGCACGAAAGCGUGGGUAGCAAACAGG